UUUUUUUUUUUUUUAACUUCUGCUGACAGCCCGAAAAUCCUGUGAUUUAUACGAUUAAUAUGAGAAGCAACAUCAUUAUUCUGUGAAUAUAUUAUUCAUUCACUAGUGAUCUAUUCUCUCCACACCCAGCUCUGAGAGUCAAUUUUCCCUCCCUGCUAUUUUAAUAGACCCGCAUUUUAAAUGGCGAGAGCAGUCCAUUAAACAUGUAUAAGAUAUGUAAUCUCAUUUAGAGUAUGCGCUUCCAGGGGAUCCGCCUCAUAAGCACACAGACAACAAUGCUGCCUGGUCUUGUUGGGACCCACAUGGGUGGGCAGCUGAGAACAAAGUCAGGCUCCGAGUAAGGAAUGUGUUAAAACUUCUGAUUGGGGUCCGAGGUUCCCUGGCAGGGGGAAUGAGCUCUGUCCCUGGACACUUGGGUUGCAGAGGCCCCGCCCACUCUCCUCUGUCCCCACCCGCACCGUGGCCGUCCACGCCUCUGAGAGUGCGGCAUUUGGGGGAAGAGGGAAGGGUCUUCUCUAAGGGAGUCAGAUCCUCAUUUUUUGCUUAAUUAAAAAGCACUGGGGGAGUUCCCUGGUGGCCCAGUGGUUAAGGACCUGGCAUUAUCACUGCUGUGGUGUGGCUUCAAACCGUAGCCCAGGAAUUUCAGCAUGCCAUGAACACCCCCUCCACCCACCCCUCAAAAAAAACUGGGAUGGCUGCAGCCUUCGUGAGCUCCACUUUCUCCCUUAUAAACAGUAAAUCAAAUCAUGAAUCCAGCCCUGGGGCUGCAGGGGAGCCCGUUCAGGUCCAUCCACCAGCCUGCGUGGGUGAAGAUGGUUCUCUAUACAAGGUCAGAGGACAGACAUAUGGGGACUUUGAAAGGUUCCAGCAAAGUUGUUACACUGUUACUGCUGUGACUGUGGAAUAUGAGGAGCCCACGCAAUGGGUCUUGACCUUGAGGAGCUUCUGGUCCGACCUAAAUUGGUGACUCACCCCAGUCCGGGGCUGGGAGGCGCCCUAGAGUCUGGCAAUGGUGCUCUAGCAGCACAGAGAUGAGAGCCGUGACUCUGAGGCCACUGCCAAAUGCUUCCUGGAGGAGAGGGUGUUUGACAGACGGCACAGAAGGACAGACACAGUUUGGCCAGGUUGGGUUCACUGGGGAGGGCGGAGGGGCAGCAGCAGUGAGGUGACAGCGUGGAUGUGGUGUGGAGCCAGUUUACAGAGGACUUCAGACCAUAAGCCAGAAAGCUAGGACCUGGUGCAGGCAAUGGGGAGCCAUUGCAGGCUUCAGAGCUGAGUGACCAGUCGGAGCUAUACAGGUUCGCCUUUCAGAAUGCCACGGCUGUGUCCAAGUGCAGUCUGCAGAUAGCUCAGGGCUAAGGUGGGGGAGGUGGUGGUGUUCCUGAGGUUCCCCUGCCCUGGGCAAACUCCUAUUUAUCCUUCAAGACCUUGGCCAAGUGGCCCCUCCUCCUCUGCGAAGCCUCCCCUGACUCCAUUCUCUGUUGCCUGUCUGCAGAUGGUGACCAAAAAUCAACCCUGGCUCUAAGAGUGUGACCCACAAAGCAGCAGGUAACCAUUGAGAUCAGUGGCAUCUCAGGCAGGAGGGGAGCCUAAGGGUGGGUGCCGCCAGAAGCAGAUCUUCGGACCUCAGAGAGUGCAGGUGAUUUACCCAGGAGGCAUCCUGGAAGCACUCGCUUGGGCAUCUGAGAGGCAGGGAUUGCCAAGGCUGCCAAUAAAAGGUGAAGAAUGACCUCCCUGGGAGCUGAAGCGGAAAGCCUUGGGACACUGCCGCGGGAGACAGCGUGGAGCUUGUGCUCCGAGCUGCACCUCCCCGACCCGCAGCAGGGCAGGUGAGCUGGGGGACUAAUGCGCCCAACCUCAGUGCUCACUGGCUGAGAACGGCCCCUGGGGGCUUCCCGUCUGUUGGGUGUUCAAGAGAAAGCCCUCUGGCCAUGGGACAGGACACUGGCGGUUGGAAGCCGGCGGUCUGUUUGGCAGUGGUGAGAUGAGAGGGGACACAGGUGCAGCACCAGCUGCGUCAGCUACAGAACCCUGCCCAUCUUGCGGGAAGUACACGUGCGUGGCCAUGAAGCUGGGACCUCAGAGAGACAUGAGCUGGGGGCGAGGGUCCAGCUCGGUCACCACACAGCUGUCCUCUGCUGGGAAACCGGCCCCACG
rnacentral:lncRNA from 1 species